UGCUGGUUAAAUUUUAGUAUACAAAUGCUAAUAAGAUGAAAACGUUUUAUCACAGACGCGAUUAAAAUCACUGUCGUUAAUGCAUCAGAUUCACAAUGUUGAUAAUUCAGUUUAUCUCUCCAUUAAGUAGCAAAAUUUUGAAUGCUGUAGAUUAUGCAAAAAUAUACAAAAAAAGUCGGAUUCUCGGUCUUUCAGCUGCUCAUCCCUACCAC
rnacentral:lncRNA from 1 species